UGAUGCGAGAGAGCUUUGUCAAACAAUCCAGCGAGACCGUUCAGUUCGUUAGAAUGAAUCGAACAAGAUUGAUUUGAAAAAAGUCAAUCAUCGCCACAUCUCCAUCAUCCGUCACUGAGAGAUAUUUAAAUCCAGCAGUGGUCGUUGAACGGGGAAGACGUUGUUUGUCUCUCCACUACGACUAGUUUUUUACGAGGAAGAAGAGCUAAAUUUAGAGAUACGUUUUUAAGCAUCAGGUCAAGUUACUUCUUCCAUUCAACUACAUCAACACUGGCACCACUGGACCGGACCAUUAUUAUUCAAGAGAUGACGUAAACACCAAGAAAAGUUCACCACCAAACGGAUCAUAAUAAAAUACGAAUCAACUCUCGGUCGGAUUUAGAAUUUUACAAUACUCUUUGUUGCCCCAACAAACCACCAUCACUUUCUUCGUGUCCCGUCAUAAUAAUAAUAACAGCUGUACAUGGAUCUUUAUUUUAGUCUGUUCCUGUUCGUGUCUGUCUGCUCCAAUUUGUGCAUACUAAUAAUAAUGCUGAUUAGUGCUAUCUUGGUGACGUUCAGAGUGGCCGAAGGAAUUUAUUUCUUGAAAAGAGUUGGAUGGCCGACCGACUGAAGGAGGAGGUUGCUUGCUCUCUCUCUGGUCGCACAUUUCGCCACCACAAGCAUACACUCACUCCAGUUGAGACAGAGGGAAGCAUCCACUUGCUCACCCUUUUUCCUCCUUCUCAUAAAAACAGUGUAAAAACAAGCAUAAUAUUACUAUGCAAAAUGUUGAUGACCAAUGCAAUGUGAAAGUCUAAAUGAUUAAAAUACUAGUUUAUUAAAUACAAUUCAAUAAUUACAUGUGUAUUAAUAAAGAUUUGUGUUGACAUAUUUGCAAAUUAA